UACGUAGGGGGCAAGCGUUGUCCGGAUUUAUUGGGCGUAAAGAGCGUGUAGGCGGUUCGGUAAGUCUGCCGUGAAAACCUGGGGCUCAACCCUGGGCGUGCGGUGGAUACUGCCGGGCUAGAGGGUGGUAGAGGCGAGUGGAAUUCCCGGUGUAGCGGUGAAAUGCGCAGAUAUCGGGAGGAACACCAGUAGCGAAGGCGGCUCGCUGGGCCAUUCCUGACGCUGAGACGCGAAAGCUAGGGGAGCGAACAGG
rnacentral:rRNA from 1 species